CAGUAGCCGCGGUAAUACGGAGGGUGCAAUCGUUAUCCGGAUUUAUUGGGUUUAAAGGGUCCGUAGGCGGAUCUGUAAGUCAGUGGUGAAAUCUCACAGCUUAACUGUGAAACUGCCAUUGAUACUGCAGGUCUUGAGUAAAUUUGAAGUGGCUGGAAUAAGUAGUGUAGCGGUGAAAUGCAUAGAUAUUACUUAGAACACCAAUUGCGAAGGCAGGUCACUAAGAUUUAACUGACGCUGAUGUACGAAAGCGUGGGGAGCGAACAGGAUUAGAUACCCCCGUAGUCCCUGUCUCUUAUAC
rnacentral:rRNA from 1 species